rnacentral:lncRNA from 1 species
UCAAGUGAAACCAAAUUCAUUAACAAAGCAAACGCAAAGUGGGCAAUUACAAACAGGCUAAAAAUAAAUUGAAAGUAUAAUGAGAAGUGUAACUUGAAAAUACAAUGAAAUAAAAUUUACUAAAAUAAAAAAAUAAAAUAAAAAAGAAACAACAUUAAAAAAAAUUAAACAAAAAUACAACUGAUAUCUAGACGGUAUCAUUAGCAUCCAUCUCCUGCAUAUCUACAUCGAAGUCGAUGAACGAGGUCAGAUCAGUCCCAUAGUCCCCAUACACAAAAGAUGAUACCGGAGAUAUCAAACCAGACUGCCUCUAAGGGGUCUGCUGCUGAUGAGGUUGUUGCUGAGGUGAAGACCGAAAGGGGCUCAUGUAUGGCUGCUGAGAAACUGGCCUCCUAACUAAAUUGGAGUCUCCAUCCUAGGGUACCUAUAACGACCAUAAUGAAGAGUCGGCGACUCUCCUCAUAAUCGAUCCCGAAAUCGUUGAAUAGCCGCCCACAUGUCACUCUCGUGUGUUAGGUGGCGGCCAGGUGCCCCCAUGUGUGCACACAUAUCCUGCAUAAAACAAAAUUGCAUAUACGGUCAAUAUGUGCUUAGGAGUCCUCGUCCUCAACAAGCGGAGUUGCCCUCGGCACUCCAUGAUAUGUAUCCUUCCUAGGUGGCUCACUAGGUCCUGACUCAGAUGCAUGUGGAUGUCGGCAUGGUCUCUGCUCCUCGCUCGUAACAAUAACAGUCAUCUCCUUUAGCCAAGAAGGAUACAAACAACAUGUUGGUCUCAACAUCUGCCUACUAUCCAGGUCCUCUACCCCCGCCUUUGGACAUAGUAACAAUAUCACAAUAGCGUGCCCCAAGGACUUCUUCUGUGAUUGAGCAAUCUCGUCCAUGUCACCAGUAAUGAUUCUUCCUUUAUUGACAU